AAAAUUCAAAGUCCCUUGUCAAAUGGCAAAAUCAAAAGUUCAAACACAUGAAACGAAUGGAUAACAACUGUCAUAUUCCUGACUUGAUUAUAAAUCAUAUCGCAAACUCUAGCUGAUAUUUUGUAUGGCUAUCAGCAGAGUAAACGACAUCGUAGCAGACAAACGCGCAUCUGGUGCAGCAAACUUAGUACCAUAAACACAGUAUUCACCAGAAUUUCAAUGAAAAUAACACUU
rnacentral:lncRNA from 1 species